UGGGGAAUAUUGCACAAUGGACGGAAGUUUGAUGCAGCGACGCCGCGUGGAGGGUGUAGGCCUUCGGGUUGUGAACUCCUUUUUCUCGCGAAAAAGGCACAGUUUUGGCUGUGUUGAUGGUAGUGGGGGAAGAAGCGCCGGCUAACUACGUGCCAGCAGCCGCGGUAAUACGUAGGGCGCGAGCGUUGUCCGGAUUUAUUGGGCGUAAAGAGCUCGUAGGUGGUUCGUCGCGUCUGUCGUGAAAGCCAGCAGCUUAACUGUUGGUCUGCGGUGGGUACGGGCGGGUGUGAGUGCGGUAGGGGUGACUGGAAUUCCUGGGGUAGCGGUGGAAUGCGCAGAUAUCAGGAGGAAAACCGAUGGCGAAGGCAGGUCACUGGGCCGUUACUGACACUGAGGGGCGAAAGCGUGGGGAGCGAACAGG
rnacentral:rRNA from 1 species